GUUUGCUUGCAAACUGGAGAUGGCGACNGGCGCACGGGUGAGUAACACGUAUCCAACCUGCCGAUAACUCGGGGAUAGCCUUUCGAAAGAAAGAUUAAUACCCGAUGGCAUAAUUAGACCGCAUGGUUUGAUUAUUAAAGAAUUUCGGUUAUCGAUGGGGAUGCGUUCCAUUAGGCAGUUGGUGAGGUAACGGCUCACCAAACCUUCGAUGGAUAGGGGUUCUGAGAGGAAGGUCCCCCACAUUGGAACUGAGACACGGUCCAAACUCCUACGGGAGGCAGCAGUGAGGAAUAUUGGUCAAUGGACGAGAGUCUGAACCAGCCAAGUAGCGUGAAGGAUGACUGCCCUAUGGGUUGUAAACUUCUUUUAUAUGGGAAUAAAGUUUUCCACGUGUGGAAUUUUGUAUGUACCAUAUGAAUAAGGAUCGGCUAACUCCGUGCCAGCAGCCGCGGUAAUACGGAGGAUCCGAGCGUUAUCCGGAUUUAUUGGGUUUAAAGGGAGCGUAGGUGGACAGUUAAGUCAGUUGUGAAAGUUUGCGGCUCAACCGUAAAAUUGCAGUUGAUACUGGCUGUCUUGAGUACAGUAGAGGUGGGCGGAAUUCGUGGUGUAGCGGUGAAAUGCUUAGAUAUCACGAAGAACUCCGAUUGCGAAGGCAGCUCACUAGACUGCAACUGACACUGAUGCUCGAAAGUGUGGGUAUCAAACAGGAUUAGAUACCCUGGUAGUCCACACAGUAAACGAUGAAUACUCG
rnacentral:rRNA from 1 species